AUUGCGCGCACAAACAGCCGAAGAAACCCUUGCUGAAGACCGAAACAUCACAAAAUGUCAUUAUUUCGGAGGGGAAGUAUGCAGACACCUUUAAGCCUUCUGCAUGUUUUGGCUAGGCGAACCAAACGAGGGUGCUUGCAGACCUUAUAAGACCUUCGCUUGAAAAACUAAAAAAAAGCUGCAUCUUGAAACGCCGUACCACAUGCACUUCCUCAAAAUAGUCUGAAUUAAUCUAAGAACUGAAGACAUUUCAUUAAUUUAAACGUUUUUUGUCAAGGAGAUCGUAGUUGGACAAUUUUACAUAUAAGAUUUUAGGUGCAGUAUUUUUCAAUUACAUUUUUCAGAAAAAUCAUUAGUCCUUAAAUUACAAACAAUGAAUUCCUACUUUCGACUAAUCACUAAUGAAGGGGCGUUAUCUUCGGCUACCGACUUCGGCUACCCUCAAGAAAUGAAAUGUGCGCACGAACAGCCGAAAAAAACUCGCGGAAGAUGUCUUAAUAUAUGCACGAACUGUUCCAGAUGGGAAGUAUGUGGACGCCUUAAGCCUACAUGCACAGCUUGUCCUGACAAAGACCAAUUUUGGAUUGAUCAUUUUAGGAAAAUGGUCCAAUUCGCACACUUUUCAAGACAUCCCUGGUCAUCCCUCCUGCCUCUGAGCUGGCGGACUCACUAAACACAAAUGCUUACUUUGUAAAUGAUGUCUGAGGGCUGGAGUGUGCCCCCGGCUAUCUGUUAAAUAAAACAUUUAUUUUCAA